AAGACUGUACUUUCAGGGAUCAUUUCUAUAGUUUGUUACUAGAGAAGUUUCUCUGAACGUGUAUAGCACUGAAAACCACAAAGAAGAGGUGCAGCAUUAUCUCCUAAGUGUAAAGCCGGCUCUUGAUGUUGCUUUGCUGCAACUGCCAUUUGCCAUUGAUGAUCGUUCUUUUCUUCCUUUGGGAGACUGGGAAGGAAAGGAUGCAAUCUGAGUGGUU
ensembl:snoRNA